rnacentral:SRP_RNA from 1 species
GGCUCAGUCCCAUGCGGCGAAGAAUUGCGAACCCCGUCAGGUCCGGAAGGAAGCAGCGGUAAGCAAACCUCUUCGGGUGCCACGGGAGCGCUGGGCCUCC